UACGAAGGGGGGCUAGCGUUGCUCGGAAUCACUGGGCGUAAAGCGCACGUAGGCGGAUUGUUAAGUCAGGGGGUGAAAUCCUGGAGCUCAACUCCAGAACUGCCUUUGAUACUGGGAAUCUCGAGUCCAGGAGAGGUGAGUGGAACUGCGAGUGUAGAGGUGAAAUUCGUAGAUAUUCGCAAGAACACCAGUGGCGAAGGCGGCUCACUGGCCCGAUACUGACGCUGAGGCACGAAAAGCGUGGGGGAGCAAACAGG
rnacentral:rRNA from 1 species